CAGGUGCGGAGUUGUGAGCCACCGGCGCUGACCCAAAACCGAGACCCCAAACAGACAAGUUCACUUAGCCCCUAGCCUAGCCCGAGGCCCCUCUGUUCCAGCCUUCUUGCGUCCCUUAUGUUUUCCAGAUGCGCUGACUCAACGUAAAAUAUCCUAAAUGUCAAUCUGUGUCCCCAUCGUCCUAAGGGUGCUUGUUUGCUCGUGGCUUUUGGGGAUCAAGCUCAGGUCCUUGUGCUUUUGAGAUGAACACUUAGCAGAAGCCAGCUCCCCAGUCCUGAACAGACACUAAAUGAGAUUAAGAUGGUCCCUGAUCAAGGAUGACAAGCGAACAUAUUAAAAAAAAAAAAUCUCGCCUUUGUGACUGACUGCGUCUAGUUAUCUCAGGGAGCACCCUUAGAAAACCUAAGCUGCCCUACAAGAGUCAGGCUCCUUUAAGGCCCUUCCUUAUCUCGGAGGCGGAACCGGAAGCGCGAGGACGCGGUGCCCAACAUGGCGGCCG
rnacentral:lncRNA from 1 species